GCGGACAGUGUCUGGUGGGUAGUUUGACUGGGGCGGUCUCCUCCUAAAGAGUAACGGAGGAGCACGAAGGUUGGCUAAUCCUGGUCGGACAUCAGGAGGUUAGUGCAAUGGCAUAAGCCAGCUUGACUGCGAGCGUGACGGCGCGAGCAGGUGCGAAAGCAGGUCAUAGUGAUCCGGUGGUUCUGAAUGGAAGGGCCAUCGCUCAACGGAUAAAAGGUACUCCGGGGAUAACAGGCUGAUACCGCCCAAGAGUUCAUAUCGACGGCGGUGUUUGGCACCUCGAUGUCGGCUCAUCACAUCCUGGGGCUGAAGUAGGUCCCAAGGGUAUGGCUGUUCGCCAUUUAAAGUGGUACGCGAGCUGGGUUUAGAACGUCGUGAGACAGUUCGGUCCCUA
rnacentral:rRNA from 1 species